AUUGAACGCUGGCGGCAGGCCUAACACAUGCAAGUCGAACGAGUGGCGGACGGGUGGGUAAUGUCUGGGAAACUGGCUGACGGAGGGGGAUAACUACUGGAAAAGGUAGCUAAUACCGCAUACCAUCAGAUGGGCCCAGAUGGGAUGAGCUUGUUGGUGGGGUAACGGCUCACCAAGGCGACGAUGCCUAGCUGGUCUGAGAGGAUGACCAGCCACACUGGAACUGAGACACGGUCCAGACUCCUACGGGAGGCAGCAGUGGGGAAUCUUGCACAAUGGGCGCAAGCCUGAUGCAGCAAUGCCGCGUGUAUGAAGAAGGCUUUCGGGUCGUAAAGUACUUUCAGCGGGGAGGCGUUACCCGCAGAAGAAGCACCGGCUAACUCCGUGCCAGCAGCCGCGGUAAUUC
rnacentral:rRNA from 1 species